GGGGAGGAAGCCAGUUACCCAGUUACCGCUGGUAUUCUGAGGGCGUAAUCCAUGCUUCUGUCCAGAUACCGUCUGUCCUUUUCGUUGAGGAAACAAACACCUGACCUUAUGAUGUGCCAGAUCCUGGAGACCCGAGACACAUCGCCUCGCUUUUCAGGUUUGGGAUGCACAAUGAUGAGAAAUAAAAAGGAAAAAGAUUUCCAGAAAGAAGCCGUAAGAUUCAAGGUUUCACAGUCCAAGCUAAUGUCUACAGAUUCUUCACCAAAUGAUCUGAGAAAAUUGGAUUCAUGGCAAAAGAAGCGUUACUCGACUAAGGCAAGGAACUUUGAUUCACUUACACAUCAGUUGCAAUGUCUGAGUCAUAGGCUGGUCGAUUGACCGUGCUAUAGCCCCUGUGCUGUAUUUUAC